rnacentral:tRNA from 1 species
GCCGGGGUGGUGGAAUUGGUAGACACGCUAUCUUGAGGGGGUAGUGGGAGAAAUCCCGUGAGGGUUCGAGUCCCUCCUUCGGCACCA